CCGACAGUGGAAACGCGGCUAUUAACUCCACUGGCCUCGCUCCGUUCCCACGGCUCUCGGCCCCGCCCCUCUCGGCACAAAGGUUAAUCCAGACAAAUGCUGAAAAUUGGUGAUUUUGAGGUGAAAUUAGGCACGCAGCACUCUGGGAUUUGACAUAAACAUAGUUACAAGCUGUUCGCUUUCUUUUUCCAUGGCCCGUCUGUCUGGAUAAUCUUGUUACGUUUCGUUUUUCCAGAGGGACAAAUUCUGCUUGCUCGAACGAGCUGUGGCCCAGUCUGGAGGUCAAGGCUAUAGUGGAGAGGAGGGGGGCUGCUCUGUCAGAGAUAAGAGAGCAGAGAAUGAUGUGGCCAAAUGGCAUGGAGAGAGAAUUGGCGGAAUUAUCUGAUAUUCCCAGGAUUUAAACUUGACUGCGAAUGCCAUCCAGCACCAAACAAGAUUAUAUUCUUUCUCUCUGAAAGGAUUUAUAAAUUGUCAACCUUUUAUUUAUUUAAUUUUUUUUUUUGGGGGGGGCACUCAGCAGGAAGGGCCUGCAUUUACUUUGUACUGUGGUAUUUUCAACAUGAGGAGAUGGACACUCAUCAAGCCCUUGAAAAAAAAAGUUUUUUUGGGAAGCAGUUGGGGUUCGGUGCCUUGUUCACCUCAGGGCACCUCAGUCAUGGUACUGAAGGUGGGAGAGAGCGCUGUACAUUCACUCCCCCCACCUACAACCCCUGCCGGUACAAGACUCGAACCCGGAACCUUUGGGUUACAUUUAUUUUUAGCUCAGGUCAUCACAAAUUGGGUCACUUUUAAUGCGAUACGUUGUCUAUUAUUGAAGCGGAAAUCUAAAUGGCUGGCUUGAAAAGACAAGUGUACUUAAAGUAUCUUAGGUAUUUUCAUGUUAUUACUGAGUAACUUUAGUUAACUUGAUAAUGGUGAGCUAUCCAGUUCUUUCAACCUCUUAUAAAACUGUAACCCACUUUGCGAAUGUCAGAUAUUUUAACAAUUCGUUGCAGCCUUGUCUUUUUGAUCACAAAUAAAGCUAUUGUCAUAGUUAUGCCCUGAGGGAAAUAUUAUGUUCAGAUGUUGCACUUUCAUGUCUAUGGUGUUCAGAUAUUUACUUUAGAUAUCAACUUUAUUUCAGACCUUUGAUAUGAUACUUUGAUACUUUGGAAAGCAACAUUUUUGGGACAUUAUUUUGAUCAAGUGGAGACCCAAAUGAGAUUAGGGUUUGUUCCCCUCAAGACUCUUACUUUCCAUUUAAUUUCAUUGCAUAUAUAUUCAUUCUUCCUAUAUCAAGCACCUGUUGUGGUUCCCUUGUUAUUCUGCUGCUUUUUCCCCCCAGACUUUUACUUCAUCUGUCAUGACAUCCCAUAGAAUCUGAAAAUCCCAAAGCCUUGAAAUUUGACAUGGUUAAUAUUCCUG
ensembl:lncRNA